rnacentral:rRNA from 1 species
ACGAACCGUGCGAACGUUAUUCGGAAUCACUGGGCUUAAAGCGCGUGUAGGCGGACCAGCACGUCGGUCGUUCAAAUCCCCCGGCUCAACCGGGGAACCGGCGCCGAUACGACUGGUCUGGAGGAACGUAGGGGGAGCGGGAACUUCCGGUGGAGCGGUGAAAUGCGUUGAGAUCGGAAGGAACGCCCGUGGCGAAAGCGCGCUCCUGGACGUUUGCUGACGCUGAGACGCGAAAGCCAGGGGAGCGAACGGGAUUAGAUACCCCGGUAGUCCUGGCUGUAAACGAUGGGCACUGGGUAGGGGGCUCGCCGAUGGGCUCCCUGCCGGAGGGAAACCGUGAAGUGCCCCGCCUGGGGAGUAUGGUCGCAAGGCUG